rnacentral:RNase_P_RNA from 1 species
UGAGCGGUCCGGCGGCCGCUCCCUGUGACGCCCCCGGGCGCCGGCAGGGGGAGGAAAGUCCGGGCUCCUCGGGUCAGGGUGGUUGGUAACGCCAACCGGGCGUGAGCCCAGGGAAAGUGCCACAGAGAACAGACCGCCUACCUCGCCUCGGCGAGCGGCAAGGGUGAAACGGUGCGGUAAGAGCGCACCGCGCUCCUGGUGACAGGAGUGGCAAGGUAAACCCCACCCGGAGAAAGAUCGAAUAGGGGAGGGCAGGUGAUGACCCGCACCGUCAACCUCCCGGGUAGAUCGUUCGAGGCCCAGGGCGACCUGGGUCCCAGAGAAAUGGUCGCGCCUCCCUCCGGGGAGGAACAGAACCCGGCUUACAGGGCCGCUCGCAUC